UGGUGAAAGAGCGCCCCCCAACCCUGGGCACCGGCCUCUCUCGGACGCGCGAUGAGAUCCGCAGAGUCCGCGCCGGCUCGCGGUGGCUCUCGCCGUCGAAGGGAGCCGCGGGCGCCCUGGUCCUUCGUGGGCUCAACUCCCCGAAGGGCAAAGAGGCAACGGGCAGCAUCUCCCCAGGCAUAAAUGCCUCUCACCGUGAGCAGGGAUGCCUGGGGUUCGCGUUUCCUCCACGCCUUUACCUUGUCCCGCAGACCUGUUCUGUUCCUCGGUGUUCUGUUUUCCUCGCUUGCUUGUUUCUUCCCCAAAGUCUCAUUAGGAGACUGCGAUUUGGGUUUGUCUUGUUUAUUUUUAUUUUUUUUUAAUCCCAUUGAUUUGCAAAGGAUGCCAAGGGAAGUUUCACAUCUACAGAAAGAACGGUUCUUGCCCUGCGAGGAGCUUGAAGAAAGCAGAGAGAUGGUUGUGUGCAAGGGAUUAGCAGAGGUAUUCCAUAAGUAGAAGGUGUUGGGGAAUAAUGAGGAAGCAAAAAAAGAUCACAGUGGCACAAGAUAUUCAGAGUUCACCAACAAGAAAUCAGAAGUGGAUCUUCCUUCAGGGACUGGGCAGAAUUGUUCAAGAAGAAGCAGAUGGAAACAGCUGCCAACAGAUGGGUACUGGAAAGGAUUCAAGCCACAGUACUUGCUGGGAUUUUGUGAUGGCCUGAGCUUACCUGAUGACAAGUGUCCUAAGAUUUUGAACCAGACAGCGAUCAGUCAGUUCUUAACUAUGAGAACUAGAAAAAAAACCUGUUGUGGAACAAAAGACAUAUACAGGGCAUUCUCUGGGCAAGUCACCAGAGCUUAUUUCUCAGAGAAGUCCUGUGGUGAGAGGAAUCUUUAAGCUGUGGUUCCUCAUUGCACUAAAGAUAAAAGAACUUGACUAAUACAUUUUUUGUCAAUUUGUCUAUCCCAUAAUUCAUUCACUCAAAAUGGUGGUUUCUCUUGACCUUCAGGUAAGAUUUAACAGGUGGGGAAAAGAUAAAUUUAGGAAAUCCAGUGACGUAAUGCUGAUACUUUUAUGUUUUCUUGCAUAUUUUCGAGCAUAUAACAAAGAAUAAUAAACAGCAAAAGCUAAAGUGUCCUUGGCAAACAAACAAACAAAAUAGCACCCUGUGAUAUUUUUCCCUUUGCACCCUGCACCCCCCCCCCCCCCUGUUUACUCCCACAGAGCUUGAAAUAUUAACCCAGCAUGUUAAUUUAUUUCUUCCAGAGUUGCCCUGGCCAUUGGAUUUAACAUCUCUCUUGGAAGUACUUCAAACCAAAUGGCUGGUUCCAUCUCUAGCUUUGUUAAUUAGGCACAUUACUUUGUUGCUUUUUUCAUAUCGUUUAAUGUAAUUGGAAUUCAUGAAGCUUUUGAAAGGCAUGUUUGGGACUACAUUUUGUGCAGCUGUCUUCAAACUGCAAGCUGCUUUAAGAGUCUAGUUCUGUGGAGGCCAGCCUUUGAGAGCGUAACACGUGUUCUCAGCACAUACCAUGCUUCCUUUCCAAAAGCGAUGAAGUGACAAGUAUGACACAUGUUCCUUCCUGCAUACAGUUGUAUUGUUAUGGUAUUCUAUUUGUAAUAGGAGCAUUAUGUGCCCGGUUUGAAGAACAGGACUCCCUCUACCAGCUGUUGUAUAAAUGCUUUGCUCUAAGAUGGUCUUCAUCCUAACCGCCUUUAGGCAAUUCAUAGGGAUGCCUUGCCACAUAGGCACAAAAGCCUGUGGUUUCUCACACAGAAGUGCAUCUUUGCAAGCUAUGAAUUUGGACAUUCUGUGGUAAUACCAACAGCUAAGGGUGCCAAUGCUGUGUCAAGGGCCAGUAAUACUGAUGAAUUUACACUAGGUAGGAAUUCAGCUCAUUAAUUGCAGUUGUGUUGGUGUGAAAUGAUACUCUGUAUCUGAACUGAGGAAGAGUUACAUAUAAAAGUUUAGGGGGAAAAAUUAUAUAUGCAAGCACGAAAGAAAUUAUGUCCAAGUCCUCUUUUUCGUAGAAAUGCUGCCCUCAAGUGGUCUGGGGGAAAAAAGCAUACAUACUGCUUAUUGAUUGCAACAGUGUAGUUUCGACUUGCUUUGCUGCAAGUAGCAAUCGAAUGUACCUCUUAGUACCACAGGCACAUGGAUGGUUUAUGCUCCACCCUGAGGAAACCCAUGGGUGGCAUAAGACCAAGCAGACAUUCAUAACAAAAAGUUAUUGGUUUACCCGUACAGGCCCACUGACUCUAUUCUGUAAACAACCAACUAAAAUUGAAAUAUUUUCCACACAAAUGAGAGGUUCGUAACAGUCUGCCCUACAGCGAUAGUCAAAACUACUGACAUCACACAGAACCACGUGUAAGAAAAUGGAGACGAGUUGGACAAACCGGUCUCACAGGAAAUGUGUUCCUAGAUGUGAUGGAUUGUCACUGAAAAAACCCCAACCUGGUCCAACUGUCGGUCAGAUAAAGAGUCCUGCACACAGUGGUUGUCAGUGAAACAUGAGGAUCCUUCUGUCCUCCCAGAGUAUUAAUUCCAGGCCACAGAUAAAAUACAAAUUCUCUAGGUUUUGUGUUUUAGUCAUGGCAGCCAAGUGUAUUUGUUUUAGGAUUCAGAAGUAAAGCAUCAAUGUGAAAGAAAGGAAUGUUGUAUGCCUAAAGUAUAAGGUCGAUGAUCUUUAGGUAUGUUACCUCUAUGCUUGCUUACCUUUCCUUUGUGUGCCUUCAAAUGUUUUUUCCAAAUGUGCAAGACUGUUUCUCAGCUUGUCCUGUUCUAUACCUGCAUGUUAUGUGGGGCUUACUGUGCAUGCCGAGGUGAUUUGCACCCCACUGAGGGACCAGACCAUCAGAGAACUGGAUCUCGGUCCUGCUGUCAUCUCCUGUUCCUGUGCAUCUGCCCCAGCUGCCUUCUGGUAAGCAACCUCCUUGGCCAUGGCUUGCAGCACAGACCAUACAAUGCCUUCGAAGACCUUCCUUUUUUUUUUCUUUUGUCCUUCUUUUUUACUUAAAACAAACAAAAAUAGAAUCACGCCUCAAAAUUUGUGCAGUAAUAAAGAAACCCUUUACUAUUCCUACAAUUUUUCUCUCUCUUUCCGUAGAAAGCUCUUGGUAGGGAAGAGCUUGGCUUUUCCAGCAUAUUUUUCCUGCUGUUCCUAGUGUGUGGGGCUCCAGGCACUGCCUGAAGAUGGUGGAUAUUUUUGUUUGUUUCCCCACAAACAAUUUUCCAUGAUACGAAGAUGAGAAAACAACAUUGAAUUCACCAGGAGACAAUUUCAGAAAGAAAUGCAACUUGCCUCUUAUCCAGCAGAUGCUGCUGUUGGACCAAAAAAAGCGUCUCAAGGUCAGUUCAGGUGGGUUAGAGAGGACAAUAUUUCAUAUUUCAACAGUUCCAGGAUUUUAUCCAGCAUCUCCAGAUCUGGUCCCUUGAAACUAGGGGAACCCCUUUUACAGCCGUGUACUUGCAACACUAGGUGACUGUGCUGAGACAUAGACCUUUGAGUGCAUCUGACUCCAAGUGAAAAAACCAACACCACCCCAACCACAAUCGCAAUCUCAGUCUUUGGAUUAAGUGGGUUGUUGUCUGUCAGAAUUUUUAAUAUUUUUUUUAUAAACAGUGGAAAGCUUCACUUCAUAUACAGUAUUUGCUUCCCUAGUGAUGAAUGGGGGGUUAUUUAUUAAGUCAUACAUAAAAUAGCACACUUGUUGAUGUUGCUAAGAUAUGUGCAGAAAAGUUAUUGACAUUUCAGAAAUGAAAUGUGAGUUCAAUACCAUGCUGACUGUAUUAUUGGGAAAAGCCUGAGGUUUUCUGUCACCCUGUGGUUACAGGAUAGGUCAAUUUUCACCAUUAAGGUGUUUAUUCAGAAGUGCCUGUGAGAUUUCUGGGUCCAUAAGGAAAUUUCUAGGUUCCUUCUACUGGCCCAGGUGGCUUUACACCAGAUGUGUUCCUAAUUCCUAGUGGGAAAUUUCCUAGGUGGGAAAGGACUGUCUGGUGGUUCUCGUGUAUUACACUAGGGACUAUUCUCUGCCUCUUUAGCACUAAAAUCUCAAAUAUUGAAAGUAGAGACAUUGGUCACCACUUAAUGACAUUUCCAGUUGUGCAACAAACCUUUUGAGAAGGAAGCAUGCUGCGUAGAUCAAGGAGAGAAAGUCACGACUGUUCAAUAGAUUUACUGGAAAACAAGUGAUUUGAAAAGCUGAGGGAGGGUGAGCUGAGAAGCUUUAGUAAAUAGUGCUUAAUGAGCUGCUCAGGUAUGUCUUACGAGAUGACCUCUGGGACGUUUGGCAUGUGGGCCUAUUAUCUCAUCCCACACUUACUGAAUGCAGAUCAUGUUGUCAAAGGUUUGCACUCUGACUCUACAAAGACCAUUUUACCUACUGUUAGCAAAGUCAGUUUUGCUGUGUGCAGGUUAUGGAAAAUGACAUGCUAACCAUCUUCUGCUAUCACAGGCCCCAGGUCAGCCACACGGCUUGGAAAUGUACACUUUUAGUAUUAUUAUGGGGAUGGUUUCUUGUUUAUAUUUUCAAGAUCAGGUAAGCUGUAAAGCCUGCCAGUUUGCUCAGUGUGGUUGUGCUCAGGGGAUCUGCAUAUCCGAAGGGGCUGUGACAGAAAUGGGUCAGUGAGCGGAGCAUGAGCAAAGGGACACGGCAGGCACUUUAUGUCAUGGCUUUGCACCGUCACAUAAACGCUGUCCCAGACAGUAUUACAUGCAGUAGCUUGAAACUGUUCCCACUGGAGUUGGAAGUAUUGACAUUGAUUUCAAGGAACAAAUCAAUAAUUUUUAAGCAAAAGGGAAAUAUUAAUUUCUUCUCAUUAACAUUUGGUUGGUAUGAGGUACCAUACCAACUUUUACUUGUCUGUUCCCUUUUAGGUGUAGUUCUGAAGAUGAUAAUACCAUUUUUCUGAGUAAAAUGAGCAGGUUUUUCCUUUGCACAGUUUUCAAAUAUCUCUGCAAAAUACGAAUUGUAAAAUGAAAACUGUUUUUUCUUCCACACCCAGUGGGAUAUUGUAAGGUCUUUGUUUUGUGUUUAAAAUUACAAGUCAUUUUAAAAGAGCAACAUCUAGUGCAAAGCAACUUCCAACUUAAUAUUUUUUUAAUAAUUUUUUUAUACAGAUGAUAAAAUAUUUUAAAAGGAAAAAUAUACCAGUAGUUCAUAUACUUCUAUUACCUGAAAUGUAAUUUUUCAGUAUGUGAAAAAUUUCUGUAGCAGCUCCAGGAAUAAUAUAGGAAA